AAUGUACAAUCCUGUUUUUUUUUUAUCCUUUACCAAACACUUGGAUUUUAGUUGCCUUCUCUUUAUAUUUGCAGUUCUUAUCUUUUCAUUUUUUAUCUCUCAAUUGGGAAUCUGUAUGCUGUUUGUAUGGGGCUUGUUUUUUGGUAUAUUAUAUUUGAGAAUUUGAAGUGCAAUAGUGGAUGGGUGGUUGGGUAGUUGUACAUAAUUUUCUUAAAAUAUGUGGAUACUUUGAAGAUGAGUGUGGGUUACAUGAUCUCAUUGUUUCUGAUGAAUUGCCAGCCCAGGGUAGAAGCUGCAAUG
rnacentral:misc_RNA from 1 species